AUAAAUUCAUGGGAUAUUUAUAGAUCAAAACUUCAUCUUCUUGAUAAUUAAAUAUAUCAAGAAGAUACACAAAACCUCCUUUCAUGGAGAUCAAAUUCAAAUAUUUCUACGUUCAAAAAAUACACCACUAACGACCCUCGAAUUACAGAGAAAUCCAUAUCAAAUCCUAUGUUCGAGAAAUACACUACUGACAGCCCUUGAAUUAUGAAGAAAAUCAAGAGAGAAGAAUCCCUCAAAUUAUGAAGAAAUCCAUAUCAAAUCCUACAUUCAAGAAAUACACUACUGACAGCCCUCGAACUAUGGAGAAAAUCAAGAGAGAAGAAUCAAGAGAGAAACAGAUUUGUACCCAC
rnacentral:lncRNA from 1 species